GGCUGUAUUCUCCAAGGAUAUAUGAACUUACCUUGACCAUUGUUUCAUGAAUGGCAGGCUUAUCAAGAUAUUCUCUGGAUUUCAAAGCUGCAUAAGGCUGAAGAUCUUCAUUAUUAGUAACAAACUGCACAACACGGAACCAGAUGUCAUCACUGACAAAAUCGCCGGCCUUGUCAAUUAAUUGAAGGAUGACAUCGACAUACCAUGACAGAUCAGGAGCAAACUUCUCUGCAAGAAUUGCUAUUUUAAGUGACAGUUCUUCACGCAUCACGAACUCCGCUGUACUGAGAUACUGUAAUAAUUCUUCUACUAUGUCCUUUGC
rnacentral:misc_RNA from 1 species